CCUGUACCGCCAAUAAGCGUUUGAGAGAUGGAGUGACACAGUAGGAUAAGCUAACCGUACUGUUGGUUAUGUACGGCUAAGCAUUGAGGCAGUCUAAUAGGCAAAUCCGUUUAGAUAAUGUUAGGAUGUGAUGGGGAAGCCCUUCGGGGCGAAGUAGCUGAUUUCACACUGUCAAGAAAAGCUUCUAUCGAGUUUAAAGGCGCCCGUACCGUAAACCGACACAGGUGGGUGAGGAGAGUAUCCUAAGGCCAGCGAGAGAACUAUUGUUAAGGAACUCGGCAAAAUGACCCCGUAACUUAGGGAGAAGGAGUGCCUGUCUAUGACAGGCCGCAGAGAAUAGGCCCAAGCGACUGUUUACCAAAAACACAGGUUUCUGCUAAGUCGCAAGACGAUGUAUAGGAGCUGACGCCUGCCCGGUGCUGGAAGGUUAAGGGGAUCUGUUAGAUCAAUCGAAGCAGUGAACUUAAGCCCCAGUAAACGGCGGCCGUAACUAUAACGGUCCUAAGGUAGCGAAAUUCCUUGUCGGGUAAGUUCCGACCCGCACGAAAGGCGUAACGAUUUGGGCACUGUCUCAACAAUAGACUCGGUGAAAUUGUAAUCCCGGUGAAGAUGCCGGGUACCUGCGACAGGACGGAAAGACCCCAUGGAGCUUUACUGCAGCUUGACGUUGGGUCUUGGUACUACAUGUACAGGAUAGGUGGGAGACUAUGAAGCAUGGACGCCAGUCUGUGUGGAGUCAUCCUUGGGAUACCACCCUUGUAGUACUGGGAUCCUAACCAUAGGCCUUGAAUCAGGUCUUGGAACACCGUCAGGUGGGCAGUUUGACUGGGGCGGUCGCCUCCUAAAAAGUAACGGAGGCGCUCAAAGGUUUCCUCAGCACGGUCGGAAAUCGUGCGAAGAGUGUAAAGGCAAAAGGAAGCUUGAUUGCAAGACAUACAGGUCGAGCAAGGACGAAAGUCGGACUUAGUGAUCCGGUGGUACCGCAUGGAAGGGCCAUCGCUCAACGGAUAAAAGCUACCCUGGGGAUAACAGACUUAUCUCCCCCAAGAGUCCACAUCGACGGGGAGGUUUGGCACCUCGAUGUCGGCUCAUCACAUCCUGGGGCUGUAGUAGGUCCCAAGGGUUGGGCUGUUCGCCCAUUAAAGUGGUACGCGAGCUGGGUUCAGAACGUCGUGAGACAGUUCGGUCCCUAUCCGUCGCAGGCGUAGGAAAUUUGAGAAGACCUGUCCUUAGUACGAGAGGACCGGGAUGGACGUACCUCUGGUGUACCAGUUGUUCUGCCAAGGGCAUGGCUGGGUAGCUAUGUACGGAAUGGAUAAGCGCUGAAAGCAUCUAAGCGCGAAGCCAACUUCAAGAUAAGAUUUCCCACCGUAAGGGUAAGACCCCAGGAAGACUACCUGGUUGAUAGGUCGAAGGUGUAAGUGCAGUAAUGUAUUUAGCUUAUCGAUACUAAUAGGUCGAGGACUUGAC
rnacentral:rRNA from 1 species